rnacentral:rRNA from 1 species
UACGUAGGUGGCAAGCGUUAUCCGGAAUUAUUGGGCGUAAAGCGCGCGCAGGUGGUUUCUUAAGUCUGAUGUGAAAGCCCACGGCUCAACCGUGGAGGGUCAUUGGAAACUGGGAGACUUGAGUGCAGAAGAGGAAAGUGGAAUUCCAUGUGUAGCGGUGAAAUGCGUAGAUAUUGGGAGGAACACCGGUGGCGAAGGCGGCUACCUGGACCGGAUCUGACGCUGAUGCGCGAAAGCGUGGGGAGCAAACAGG